rnacentral:misc_RNA from 1 species
GAUGAAGAACGUAGCGAAAUGCGAUAAGUAAUGUGAAUUGCAGAAUUCAGUGAACCAUCGAAUCUUUGAACGCACAUUGCGCCCGCCAGUAUUCUGGCGGGCAUGCCUGUCCGAGCGUCAUCUCAACCCUCGAGCCCCCCCGGGGGCUCGGCGUUGGGGACCGGCCCCGCCCCAGGGCGCGCCGCCCCCCAAAUCCAGUGGCGGUCCCGCCGCAGCCUCCCCUGCGCAGUAGCUUGCAGACUCGCACCGGAGAGCGGCGCGGCCACGCCGUAAAACCCCCCGACCACGGAGCCCCGGCUCCUGAACGUUGACCUCGGAUCAGGUAGGAAUACCCGCUGAACUUAAGCAUAUCAAUAAGCGGAGGA